rnacentral:rRNA from 1 species
UCUUCCCUCUGGCGGCGUGCCUAAUACAUGCCAGUCGAGCGAACGGACGAGAAGCUUGCUUCUCUGAUGUUAGCGGCGGACGGGUGAGUAACACGUGGAUAACCUACCUAUAAGACUGGGAUAACUUCGGGAAACCGGAGCUAAUACCGGAUAAUAUUUUGAACCGCAUGGUUCAAAAGUGAAAGACGGUCUUGCUGUCACUUAUAGAUGGAUCCGCGCUGCAUUAGCUAGUUGGUAAGGUAACGGCUUACCAAGGCAACGAUGCAUAGCCGACCUGAGAGGGUGAUCGGCCACACUGGAACUGAGACACGGUCCAGACUCCUACGGGAGGCAGCAGUAGGGAAUCUUCCGCAAUGGGCGAAAGCCUGACGGAGCAACGCCGCGUGAGUGAUGAAGGUCUUCGGAUCGUAAAACUCUGUUAUUAGGGAAGAACAUAUGUGUAAGUAACUGUGCACAUCUUGACGGUACCUAAUCAGAAAGCCACGGCUAACUACGUG